rnacentral:lncRNA from 1 species
GGUGCGUGUGGAGACUCACAGCAGCUUCAGCAUGCGGUCAGAGAUGAUGAAAACACACGAGCGGCGGCUCCAGACUCUGCCAGCGAGUCUCUCUCUGAAACCUCAGACAGUGGAUUGGUGAAGCAGAGCGAUGUGGAGGAUCCUCCAGCUCACCUGCAGACGGCCAGCAGCACUGAACACACCACUCCUCCAAAAACACCCUCUGCUGCCAGCCUGGCCGAGUCUGUGCAGUCCAACACACACAGCAGUGGGAAGCUGCGGCCCAGUCGAGUUCAGAGUGUGGUGUCCAGUCAGGGCAGCCUGGACUCAGACAUGCUGGGUGAGACUCCACUGAUUAUGCGCACACUCGCUCACGCACUCAUCUGUCCUCCUGCAUCAACUCUCCUCCUGCAUGUGUGUGUUUUUCAGGUUACGACGGUGGCAGCAGCGACUCGGAGUGUGAAGGACCCACGAUGAACGAGCAGGAGAAGCAGACGCCGCUCAUGCCUGAUUUCUGGCUCAUCAUCAGGAUCCAUCAGGACCGGGUGCAGGUUUUCUCUCACUCCAGGAGUUUGCAUCGAGGGAAAGAGGAGGAAGAGGAGGAGGAGAUCCCCGAAUACCUGCGCCUUCAUCAGCUGGUGGUGCGCAGGAUUGGAGAAAUGUGCCGAAUAGUCAACCAGCGCCUCCUGCUGCAGGAUCUGCAUGACAGUCGUGUGUGCCACUCUCUCCUGGUGGCGGAGAGUGAGGAGGACAUCUGGAAACAUGAGUCGCUCUACCGGCCCCGGAUGACCCACUCUGAUGACUAUAAUGCUGACGAGAGCUAUCAGCGGCGGGAUUACCUCGCCGCCACCAUGCACUUCAUACCGGGUUACUUCGCCUGUGACGUGGUGUGGAGCACCGUUAUUUACAUCCACCCGCGGCUCAAGAUGGGGCCCAACAUGGGUGUGUCCCGCGCUAUGCAGGCUCUGCACUCCGUUCUCAACGCUUUCUGUGUGGUGAACCGCAAAAACAUGUUUGUCUAUCAGGAGCGCACCACUAAAUCUGUGUUCUACCUCCGGCUCUCCGAGACGUCUCAGGCAGGGAAGUACAGUGAUUUGGAUGGAAACGUGCACAUGUCGCGCUCUGUCGGUCUGGCUCGCAGCCAGGAGCCGCUAGGCUCAGAGGACCUCACGGGAUCGCGCUCGUCUCUGGAAGGCUCGAGGCCAGUUGGACUGGUGGACAAACACAUUCUGCUGCUAGUUCAUGGUGUAGGAACUGCAGGUCCAGAGAUCUCGGAUGAGCUGAUGAAGCUCUUGAGGAAGCGUCUGGAUGAAGCCACACUGGACAUUAUUACAGUCAUGCUGGUCAGAAACUGCAAACUGACCCCUGCAGAUGUGGAGUUUAUCCAGCCUCCCGGGUCUCCAGCGACGGAGGUGAUGGAGUUCUGUCUGCCUCAGUACUGUGGGCCGUGGAUCCAGGCGGUGGCUCACUAUCUCCGGCAGAACCUGCUCAUUUUUCUCCACAUCCCCAAAUACACUGACAGCAACAUCGAGCACCACUUUAAGCAUUAUUUCCAUUCAAGUAGCGAGCUGCCCGAUCAUGACAUCUACCUGUACAAUAAACCUGGAGGACAGGGCACCGGAGGCAAAGGUAUCGUCUGCAUCGUGCUGUCGUUCGUGGAUGAUAAAGGCUGUGCGCUGUUGCUUACUGCUCAGGACGCCAGUGUUUCGGCUGUAAGAGGAGAUGCCACCGCCAUUUCCAUCCAGCCGGACCAGUUUGAGACCUUGACAACCGUUGUCAAGGUGGACUCUCGCAACCAGAGCUCAGGUGUUCGCGUGCGCUUUGACGUGUGGGAGCAGGGGAACAUCGAUCCUCUACAGCUGGCAAACAGACUGAAAGCUGCUCUACGCCACGCUCUCUGUGAUGUUAUUAUGGAGAUGCGUGUACUGCCCAGUCCACUGUGUCUGGACACCUUCUGCCUGCCCACUGCCACCCCGCGGGAGGAGAGCUCAGUUCCCUUAAGUCUUGUGCCGUCAGACAGUAAGGAGCAGAAGAAGACUCCUCGGCGUCCCAGCACAGAUCAAGCUCUCAGAAGCAGCCCGUCUCCCAUCAGCCUGAUCUCUGCACCCGCUUCCACCCCGACCACAGGAACCAGCACUCCCGAAUCCACAACACCCACCGGGAAAAGCACUCGCCGCAGCUUCUGGGAGAUGCUGAGCAAACCAGAGACUUCUGAAAUUGGCAGUCCGAAGACAACGGAUGAUAUUAUACCGGAGCGAGCGGAGGAUAGUCGGAUGGGAAGACGCAGACACAAGACGGAGAACGUCAAACAGUGGAGCCAUGAGAAAGCCAUGGCUGUGGAACAAGAGCAGGCUCAGAGGAGACGUGCGGUUCAGUUGGAGGAAGGAGAUACGGGGACUCUUCAGCCUGUUUACCAGACCACAUACAUGCCCUGGGUCAUGUUCAUGAAUAAACUGGGUUGUCCGUCCAUCCAGCACUGUUCAGCUGAAGUCUCGCAUCACUUCCUCCUGCCCUCCGUCCUCACAGAGUUGGUCAAUCUGGUCACUUCUCUGGCCAGUGACACCACAGUCAAAGUAUUCGAAAGAAGCAGCUGCCCUCAGGGAGAUAUUUACAUACCUCUGUCAAUCAUCCAGCACAUCAGCCAAUCACCUGCCACCACCAGGAGCUUCAUUCUCAUUGGUCGCAACUUCAGCCAGUGGCAUUGCAGUACUGAGCAAGAAGACAGUUCAGAUGAAGAGAACAGUCCAGUACUAAAUAGGUGCACACCUCAUAAAGGCCUGCAGCGGUUCGAGGCUUUGGAGCACAGUGAUUGGCUGAGCCCGGGUCAGGCUGUGAGGGGCGUGGCUCCACGACAGCGUUUCCUGUUCAUUCACAUCGUCAACAAGAAGGUGACUCUGUACACGUAUAACUGGUCAGUGGAUCUGGGCGGCUCUCUGAAUCAGGCUCUGGUUAGGCUGGUGCAGUGGCAGAACGCUCGCGCACACGUGGUCAACUGCCUCCUGGGUCAGAAAAUGGGCCUUUUCCAUCAUUACUGCUUCUCUGAUACGCCUACACACGAGGAGCUGAAGCAGGAGCAAAACCCAUUCCUGAACUCCACGAUGGAGGCAGACGCUCUAUUAAGGAGUCCGGUUCCUCCGGCCGCCAGUAAGGAUCCGGGUCGACUAGGCAGCUCUGCGCGUGUUCUUCCUCCUCUGCCAUUUCCUGGUGAACUCGUGCCCUUUGAUGAAGCUCUGAGAGACGUCAACACUAACAGACCCCUGAGCAGUCAGGACGGGGCUGAUAUAGUGGCUCGACACGGAGCCCAGCUGCUGGAGGUCAAAGCAGCUGAACGCAGAGAGUUGGAGAGACAGAUGAAGAUCGAGAAUCUGUUUGUGACGUGGCAGCAGCGCUCGGCUCAGUCCAACAUGCCCAUAUCGGUGGCAGAUCUGGACACUCUAAAGCAAUCCUCUAGACUGGUUCAUUACUGCGCCACACCACUGCUCUUUGACCCUGUGUUCAGAAAACAGAUUCAGGAGGAACAGGUGCCACAGCCACAGAUGAAGAAGCGUCAUCGCUCCAGUGACUCGACAGCCUCGGGCCGGGACCGCAGCUACAGCACAGACUCUGCAGAGAUGCUGCCGAGCCGGCUGAAGGAGGAGCCGUGGCUGCAGGACAUCUCCAACACCUUCCUGCAGCAGUACGUGCAGUAUCUGCAGAGCAUGGGCUUCAUCCUGGUGCAGGUCCGGCCGCAGUCGCCAGCACGCAGCAUCGCUCGAGCUCGCGCCGCCAUGUUGAGCUCUCUGUCCACUGAAGGCAGAUCUUCAUUCUCAUCGUUCUCAUAUAAUAAGCAGAAGAGUGAAGACAGCAGCCCUAAGCAGAGCAGUUCGUCAGGCUCUGUGUCGUAUCACCUGCAGAGGGCGCUGCCGGGAGGAAUCGUGCUGAUGGAGCUGGCCUUUCAGGUAAGAGCUUCAUCUUCUGUCUUCAGAGCAGAGUUUUUAUUUUUCAGGCCUCAGAAUCAGCACACAGCAGACACUGGGCUUUUACAACAACACUGAACGUCUCGGCAGACACAGAGGAGAAAGAGAGAUGCUUAAUGGAGUCUGCCUCGCUCGCGCACUAUUUAUGCUUAUUAAUAUUUGAACACACAGAAUCAACAGCGAGGAAACAACAUGCCAUCUGAUCUCCAGCCUUCCUCACGCCUCACAUCUCUCACAAUUCACUUUCAGAGUGUUUUGAAGAUAUUGUUAUUACGGCUGUCAAAAUAAUUCAUUAAGACCUGAUAAUAAUCAUCAUCAUCAAUAUUAAUAAUGAUUUGCUUAUUUAUGAAUAAUAAAUCUAUUUAUAUCAAUCGUGUCAUCAUUUAGAAUUAUUAUUAAUUUUGUUAUUCUUAUACUUGUUAUUAAUAGUAGCAGUAAUAAUAAUAGUAAUAGCAAUAAAAAAAUGUAAUAUUGUUGUAAUUAUAAUUCAUACUUUAUUGAA